GAUAAAAUGUAAUUUAAGGAAAGUUGAGGGCAAAAGUGCAAUUAAAAGAAAUCUUAAAUUAAACCAAUUUUUAAUUAACUUAAUGGGGCACCACGUGGGACAUUUAGUGGCCAUAUAAAGCCACCUUUGGACAGCACAAUCUGCAUCUUCUUCUUCAUUUUUUUCAUUAGCCGUAUUGCUCUCCCAUAGAAACCUCCAUUGAUGUCCCUAAACCAAGCUCCAUGCAUCCAUUUUCAAGCCAUUUUCCACAUGAUUUCCUUCAUUAAAUUUAGUCUACACAGCUUGGGAAGUGUUAUGGCAGCAAAAAGAAGCACGAUUGGUGAGGUUUUAGCAAGCUCUAACAAGAGUUAGUAAAGACUCAGGGAAAGGGAAGGAAACACUGAGUCCAGACCAGGAGACAGUCAUCAGAGGUAAGAAGAGCAUAGAGCAGUAAGUAAAUUUCCUUGAAGAUAUAUUCAGAUCAGCUCCAGGUAUAUCAUAG